GAUGAACGCUGGCGGCGUGCCUAAUACAUGCAAGUCGAGCGAACAGACGAGGAGCUUGCUCCUCUGACGUUAGCGGCGGACGGGUGAGUAACACGUGGAUAACCUACCUAUAAGACUGGGAUAACUUCGGGAAACCGGAGCUAAUACCGGAUAAUAUAUUGAACCGCAUGGUUCAAUAGUGAAAGACGGUUUUGCUGUCACUUAUAGAUGGAUCCGCGCCGCAUUAGCUAGUUGGUAAGGUAACGGCUUACCAAGGCAACGAUGCGUAGCCGACCUGAGAGGGUGAUCAGCCACACUGGAACUGAGACACGGUCCAGACUCCUACGGGAGGCAGCAGUAGGGAAUCUUCCGCAAUGGGCGAAAGCCUGACGGAGCAACGCCGCGUGAGUGAUGAAGGUCUUCGGAUCGUAAAACUCUGUUAUUAGGGAAGAACAAAUGUGUAAGUAACUAUGCCCGUCUUGACGGUACCUAAUCAGAAAGCCACGGCUAACUACGUG
rnacentral:rRNA from 1 species